rnacentral:misc_RNA from 1 species
UCAAACUUGGUCAUUUAGAGGAAGUAAAAGUCGUAACAAGGUUUCCGUAGGUGAACCUGCGGAAGGAUCAUUAACGAGUCUUGACAUGGGUUGUAGCUGGCCUUCCGGGGCAUGUGCACACCAUGCUCAAUCCACUCUACCCCUGUGCACUUACUGUGGGUUUCAGAGACGAAGCGGGCUUUGUGGCUCGGAGAGUUUCUGGGCCCAUGUCUUAUUACAAACGCUUCAGUUUUGGAAUGUAUUUUGCGACAUGAACGCAUUUAUGUACAACUUUCAGCAACGGAUCUCUUGGCUCUCGCAUCGAUGAAGAACGCAGC